rnacentral:tRNA from 1 species
GACCUAUUAGCUCAGUCGGUUAGAGCGUGGUGCUGUGAUAACACCAAGGUCGUGGGCUCAAUCCCUAUUUGGUCC